rnacentral:tRNA from 1 species
AAGGGUAUAGUUGAUCUAACAACAUUAAAUUGCAAAUUUAAAAGUAUACUAAUAUAUUACCUUUU